rnacentral:rRNA from 1 species
UACGGAGGGUGCAAGCGUUAUCCGGAUUCACUGGGUUUAAAGGGUGUGUAGGCGGGCUGUUAAGUCAGUGGUGAAAUCUCCAGGCUCAACCUGGAAACUGCCAUUGAUACUAUCAGUCUUGAAUUUUGUUGAGGUAGGCGGAAUAUAUCAUGUAGCGGUGAAAUGCUUAGAUAUGAUAUAGAACACCGAUUGCGAAGGCAGCUUACUAAGCAAAUAUUGACGCCUGAGGCACGAAAGCGUGGGGAUCAAACAGG